CGAAUGCUGACAUAAGUAACGAUAAAGCGGGUGAAAAGCCCGCUCGCCGGAAGACCAAGGGUUCCUGUCCAACGUUAAUCGGGGCAGGGUGAGUCGACCCCUAAGGCGAGGCCGAAAGGCGUAGUCGAUGGGAAACAGGUUAAUAUUCCUGUACUUGGUGUUACUGCGAAGGGGGGACGGAGAAGGCUAUGUUGGCCGGGCGACGGUUGUCCCGGUUUAAGCGUGUAGGCUGGUUUUCCAGGCAAAUCCGGAAAAUCAAGGCUGAGGCGUGAUGACGAGGCACUACGGUGCUGAAGCAACAAAUGCCCUGCUUCCAGGAAAAGCCUCUAAGCAUCAGGUAACAUCAAAUCGUACCCCAAACCGACACAGGUGGUCAGGUAGAGAAUACCAAGGCGCUUGAGAGAACUCGGGUGAAGGAACUAGGCAAAAUGGUGCCGUAACUUCGGGAGAAGGCACGCUGAUAUGUAGGUGAAGUCCCUCGCGGAUGGAGCUGAAAUCAGUCGAAGAUACCAGCUGGCUGCAACUGUUUAUUAAAAACACAGCACUGUGCAAACACGAAAGUGGACGUAUACGGUGUGACGCCUGCCCGGUGCCGGAAGGUUAAUUGAUGGGGUUAGCGCAAGCGAAGCUCUUGAUCGAAGCCCCGGUAAACGGCGGCCGUAACUAUAACGGUCCUAAGGUAGCGAAAUUCCUUGUCGGGUAAGUUCCGACCUGCACGAAUGGCGUAAUGAUGGCCAGGCUGUCUCCACCCGAGACUCAGUGAAAUUGAACUCGCUGUGAAGAUGCAGUGUACCCGCGGCAAGACGGAAAGACCCCGUGAACCUUUACUAUAGCUUGACACUGAACAUUGAGCCUUGAUGUGUAGGAUAGGUGGGAGGCUUUGAAGUGUGGACGCCAGUCUGCAUGGAGCCGACCUUGAAAUACCACCCUUUAAUGUUUGAUGUUCUAACGUUGACCCGUAAUCCGGGUUGCGGACAGUGUCUGGUGGGUAGUUUGACUGGGGCGGUCUCCUCCUAAAGAGUAACGGAGGAGCACGAAGGUUGGCUAAUCCUGGUCGGACAUCAGGAGGUUAGUGCAAUGGCAUAAGCCAGCUUGACUGCGAGCGUGACGGCGCGAGCAGGUGCGAAAGCAGGUCAUAGUGAUCCGGUGGUUCUGAAUGGAAGGGCCAUCGCUCAACGGAUAAAAGGUACUCCGGGGAUAACAGGCUGAUACCGCCCAAGAGUUCAUAUCGACGGCGGUGUUUGGCACCUCGAUGUCGGCUCAUCACAUCCUGGGGCUGAAGUAGGUCCCAAGGGUAUGGCUGUUCGCCAUUUAAAGUGGUACGCGAGCUGGGUUUAGAACGUCGUGAGACAGUUCGGUCCCUAUCUGCCGUGGGCGCUGGAGAAUU
rnacentral:rRNA from 1 species